rnacentral:tRNA from 1 species
UCCCUGGUGGUCCAGUGGCUGACUUCAGGCUCCGAGGCUGGGGGCCUGGGUUCGAUCCCUGGUCAGGGAA